rnacentral:rRNA from 1 species
UACGGAGGAUCCAAGCGUUAUCCGGAUUUAUUGGGUUUAAAGGGUGCGUAGGCGGCCUAUUAAGUCAGGGGUGAAAGACGGUAGCUUAACUAUCGCAGUGCCCUUGAUACUGAUGGGCUUGAAUGUACUUGAGGUAGGCGGAAUGUGACAAGUAGCGGUGGAAUGCAUAGAUAUGUCACAGAACACCAAUUGCGAAGGCAGCUUACUAAAGUAUGAUUGACGCUGAGGCACGAAAGCGUGGGGAUCAAACAGG